rnacentral:tRNA from 1 species
GGAGGGUUGGCCGAGUGGUUAUGGCGCUGGUUUUGAAAACCAGUAGGUAUAUGCCUUCACAGGUUCGAAUCCUGUACCCUCCGCCA